rnacentral:misc_RNA from 1 species
CUUUUUUUAGCUUUCAAUUUUCUCAUAUAUCUCCGCCACCCCCUGUUUUUUCUCUUUCUAUCUAUCUCUCCACCAUUUUCACCUGUUUUUUUGCUGUGUUUAUGGAAUGACUGAAUACAGCUUGCCCACCAUGAAUUUGUGGAACAAUAGUACUAGCGAUGAUAACGUUUCUAUGAUGGAAGCUUUUAUGUCUUCUGAUCUUUCUUUUUGGGCUACUAAUAAUUCUACUUCUGCUGCUGUGGUUGGUGUCAAUUCAAAUCUUCCUCAUGCUAGUAGUAAUACUCCCUCUGUUUUUGCACCAUCUUCUUCUACAUCUGCAUCUACUUUAUCCGCAGCUGCGACUGUGGAUGCUUCCAAAUCUAUGCCGUUUUUCAACCAAGAAACCCUUCAGCAGCGUCUUCAAGCUCUUAUUGAUGGUGCUAGAGAGACGUGGACUUAUGCUAUCUUUUGGCAAUCGUCGGUUGUUGAUUUCUCAAGUCCGUCUGUGUUGGGUUGGGGAGAUGGUUAUUACAAAGGGGAAGAAGAUAAAGCAAAAAGGAAAUUAUCGGUGUCAUCACCUGCUUAUAUUGCUGAGCAGGAGCAUCGGAAGAAGGUUCUACGGGAGCUGAAUUCGUUGAUUUCCGGGGCACCACCCGGAACGGAUGAUGCGGUUGAUGAAGAAGUUACCGACACCGAAUGGUUCUUUCUUAUCUCCAUGACCCAAUCGUUUGUUAAUGGAAGUGGGCUUCCUGGUCAGGCGUUGUAUAGUUCCAGCCCGAUUUGGGUCGCCGGAACUGAGAAAUUGGCAGCUUCACACUGUGAACGUGUGAGGCAAGCACAAGGGUUCGGGCUUCAGACGAUUGUCUGUAUUCCUUCAGCUAACGGCGUGGUUGAAUUGGGCUCGACGGAGUUGAUUGUUCAAAGUUCUGAUCUUAUGAACAAGGUUAGAGUAUUGUUUAACUUCAGUAAUGAUUUGGGUUCUGGUUCAUGGGCUGUGCAGCCGGAGAGCGACCCAUCGGCGCUCUGGCUCACUGAUCCAUCGUCCUCAGGUAUGGAAGUUAGAGAGUCUUUAAAUACAGUUCAAACAAAUUCAGUUCCAUCUAGUAAUAGUAAUAAGCAAAUUGCUUAUGGAAAUGAGAAUAAUCAUCCAUCUGGAAAUGGUCAGAGUUGUUACAAUCAGCAACAACAGAAGAAUCCUCCUCAGCAACAAACACAAGGAUUCUUCACGAGGGAGUUGAAUUUUUCGGAAUUCGGUUUCGAUGGAAGUAGUAAUAGGAAUGGAAAUUCAUCGGUUUCUUGCAAGCCUGAAUCAGGAGAAAUCUUGAAUUUUGGUGAUAGUACUAAAAAAAGUGCUUCCAGUGCCAAUGUGAACUUGUUUACAGGUCAGUCCCAAUUUGGGGCUGGGGAGGAGAAUAAUAACAAGAACAAGAAAAGAUCAGCUACUUCCAGGGGAAGCAAUGAAGAAGGAAUGCUUUCAUUUGUUUCAGGUACAGUUUUGCCUUCUUCGGGCAUGAAGUCAGGUGGAGGCGGAGGCGAAGACUCUGAACAUUCAGAUCUCGAGGCUUCAGUGGUGAAAGAAGCUGAUAGUAGUAGAGUGGUAGAGCCUGAAAAGAGGCCAAGGAAGCGAGGUAGAAAGCCAGCGAAUGGACGGGAGGAGCCAUUGAAUCACGUCGAGGCAGAGAGGCAAAGGAGGGAGAAAUUGAACCAAAGAUUCUACGCGCUUAGAGCUGUUGUACCAAAUGUGUCUAAGAUGGACAAGGCAUCACUCCUUGGAGAUGCUAUUUCCUAUAUAAACGAGUUGAAAUCGAAGCUUCAAAAUACAGAGUCAGAUAAAGAAGACUUGAAGAGCCAAAUAGAAGAUUUAAAGAAAGAAUCAAGGCGCCCCGGUCCUCCUCCACCACCAAAUCAAGAUCUCAAGAUGUCUAGCCACACUGGAGGCAAGAUUGUAGACGUGGAUAUAGACGUUAAGAUCAUCGGAUGGGAUGCAAUGAUUCGUAUACAAUGUAAUAAAAAGAAUCAUCCAGCCGCAAGGCUAAUGGCAGCGCUCAUGGAAUUAGACCUAGACGUGCAUCAUGCCAGUGUUUCAGUUGUCAACGAUUUGAUGAUCCAACAAGCCACAGUGAAAAUGGGUAGCAGACAUUACACUGAAGAGCAGCUUAGGGUAGCGUUGACAUCGAAAAUUGCUGAAACACACUAAACCCCUUAGAAAAUAGAUAGAAAUCGUCGAGGGCCAUGUUUAAAUUAAAAUCUCUGGUUUCUGCUAGCUCUAAGUAAUGUUUUUGUAAUGAAGUUUGAGAUAUUAAGACGAAGACUAUCUUCGUGUUAUUUUUUCAACUUGUACCUCGGUGGUUGUUGAAAAUAUUCUUGUACAUAAAUGUUAAGCCCGAUUAACUCAACUUAAUCGGGCUUUAGUUCAUGUAAUUAAAGAUAAAUUUGCCUCCGAUUAUGUAAGGUUACAUAAAUGAAGAAGAAAUUUGAUGGCGG